UACGGAGGGUGCGAGCGUUAAUCGGAAUUACUGGGCGUAAAGGGUUCGUAGGUGGUUAAUUAAGUUAUCUGUGAAAUCCCCGGGCUUAACCUGGGCAGGUCAGAUAAUACUGGUUGACUCGAGUAUGGGAGAGGGUAGUGGAAUUUCCGGUGUAGCGGUGAAAUGCGUAGAGAUCGGAAGGAACACCAGUGGCGAAGGCGGCUACCUGGCCUAAUACUGACACUGAGGAACGAAAGCGUGGGGAGCAAACAGG
rnacentral:rRNA from 1 species